UUGAUGGAGUCGUCGUAAAACCGAAAAGCUUGGAGAAAGGAAUGCUCGUCCACUCUCAGGCAGCAGCACAGGGACUGCAAACCGACACUUUCGUGGCCAAUAGCUUAGUUGCCAUGUACUGCAAGUGUGGAAGCUUACUUGAUGCUCGCAUGGUCUUUGACAGGAUGCCAGUCUCAACUGUUGUGUCGUGGACGGCCUUGAUUCUCGCGCACGCUGAAAACGCACAAGCCGAGUUAGCACUGGAGUUCUUCAAGGCAAUCCAAAGUGACAAAACCUGUGAACUCGACUCCAGGGCUUACAUUGCAGCACUCGUGGCGUGUGGAGCUCUGACCGCACUCGAGGCUGGAAGACGAAUCCAUGCAGAAGUUUGCAAGCGGGGUUUCGACGGCGAAGUCUACGUUGCAAACGCUCUUGUCGACUUCUACGCCAAGUGUGGAAGCAUGGACGAAGCAAUGGCAGU
rnacentral:lncRNA from 1 species